rnacentral:rRNA from 1 species
GAUGAACGCUAGCUACAGGCUUAACACAUGCAAGUCGAGGGACCGGCGCACGGGUGAGUAACACGUAUCCACCCUGCCCUUUACUCGGGGAUAGCCUUUCGAAAGAAAGAUUAAUACCCGAUAUAAAGGAUGGGGAUGCGUUCAAUUAGGUUGUUGGUGAGGUAACGGCUCACCAAGACUUCGAUGGAUAGGGGUUCUGAGAGGAAGGCCCCCUACAUUUGAACUGAGACACGGUCCAAACUACUACGCGAGGUAGAAGUGAGUAAUAUUGGGCAAUGGGCGCUAGCCUGAAACAGCCAAGUAGCUUGAAGGAUGAAGGCUUAUGGGUCGUAAAUUUCUUUUAUAUAAGAAUAGGUAUUAUAUGAAUAAGGAUCGGCUAACUCCGUGCCAGCAGCCGCGGUAAUUC